GGCGCAUGUGGUUUAGUGGUUAGCACGUUCACUCACACCUCCAGGGUCGGGGGUUCGAUUCCCACCGUGGCCC